rnacentral:rRNA from 1 species
ACGCUAGCUACAGGCUUAACACAUGCAAGUCGAGGGGCAGCAUGGUCUUAGCUUGCUAAGGCCGAUGGCGACCGGCGCACGGGUGAGUAACACGUAUCCAACCUGCCGUCUACUCUUGGACAGCCUUCUGAAAGGACGAUUAAUACAAGAUGGCAUCAUGAGUCCGCAUGUUCACAUGAUUAAAGGUAUUCCGGUAGACGAUGGGGAUGCGUUCCAUUAGAUAGUAGGCGGGGUAACGGCCCACCUAGUCUUCGAUGGAUAGGGGUUCUGAGAGGAAGGUCCCCCACAUUGGAACUGAGACACGGUCCAAACUCCUACGGGAGGCAGCAGUGAGGAAUAUUGGUCAAUGGGCGAGAGCCUGAACCAGCCAAGUAGCGUGAAGGAUGACUGCCCUAUGGGUUGUAAACUUCUUUUAUAAAGGAAUAAAGUCGGGUAUGGAUACCCGUUUGCAUGUACUUUAUGAAUAAGGAUCGGCUAACUCCGUGCCAGCAGCCGCGGUAAUACGGAGGAUCCGAGCGUUAUCCGGAUUUAUUGGGUUUAAAGGGAGCGUAGAUGGAUGUUUAAGUCAGUUGUGAAAGUUUGCGGCUCAACCGUAAAAUUGCAGUUGAUACUGGAUAUCUUGAGUGCAGUUGAGGCAGGCGGAAUUCGUGGUGUAGCGGUGAAAUGCUUAGAUAUCACGAAGAACUCCGAUUGCGAAGGCAGCCUGCUAAGCUGCAACUGACAUUGAGGCUCGAAAGUGUGGGUAUCAAACAGGAUUAGAUACCCUGGUAGUCCACACGGUAAACGAUGAAUACUCGCUGUUUGCGAUAUACAGCAAGCGGCCAAGCGAAAGCGUUAAGUAUUCCACCUGGGGAGUACGCCGGCAACGGUGAAACUCAAAGGAAUUGACGGGGGCCCGCACAAGCGGAGGAACAUGUGGUUUAAUUCGAUGAUACGCGAGGAACCUUACCCGGGCUUAAAUUGCAGAUGAAUUACGGUGAAAGCCGUAAGCCGCAAGGCAUCUGUGAAGGUGCUGCAUGGUUGUCGUCAGCUCGUGCCGUGAGGUGUCGGCUUAAGUGCCAUAACGAGCGCAACCCUUGUUGUCAGUUACUAACAGGUCAUGCUGAGGACUCUGACAAGACUGCCAUCGUAAGAUGUGAGGAAGGUGGGGAUGACGUCAAAUCAGCACGGCCCUUACGUCCGGGGCUACACACGUGUUACAAUGGGGGGUACAGAGGGCCGCUACCACGCGAGUGGAUGCCAAUCCCAAAAACCUCUCUCAGUUCGGACUGGAGUCUGCAACCCGACUCCACGAAGCUGGAUUCGCUAGUAAUCGCGCAUCAGCCACGGCGCGGUGAAUACGUUCCCGGGCCUUGUACACACCGCCCGUCAAGCCAUGGGAGCCGGGGGUACCUGAAGUGCGUAACCGCGAGGAGCGCCCUAGGGUAAAACUGGUGACUGGGGC